rnacentral:rRNA from 1 species
CCUACGGGAGGCAGCAGUGAGGAAUAUUGGUCAAUGGCCGGAAGGCUGAACCAGCCAAGUCGCGUGAGGGACGACUGCCCUAUGGGUUGUAAACCUCUUUUAUAAGGGAAGAAUAAAUGCUAAGUGUAGCAUGUUGCCUGUACCUUAUGCAUAAGCAUCGGCUAACUACGUGCCAGCCGCCGCGGUAAUACGGAGGAUGCGUGGGUUAUCCGGAUUUAUUGGGUUUAAAGGGUGAGUAGGCGGUUGUGUAAGUCAGUGGUUAAACGUCGGGGCUUCACCUUGAUUAGCCAUUCAUACUGUAAAGCUAGAGUGCAGACGAGGUAGGCGGAAUAAGAUAAGUAGCGGUGAAAUGCUUAGAUAUAACUGAGAACUCCGAUAGCGAAGGC